AUUGAACGCUGGCGGCAGGCCUAACACAUGCAAGUCGAAUGGUAACAGGAAACAGCUUGCUGUUUCGCUGACGAGUGGCGGACGGGUGAGUAAUGUCUGGGAAACUGCCUGAUGGAGGGGGAUAACUACUGGAAACGGUAGCUAAUACCGCAUAACGUCGCAAGACCAAGAGGGGGACCUUCGGGGCUCUUUGCCUCAGAAUUGUCCAGAUGGGAUUAGCUAGUAGGUGGGGUAACGGCUCACCUAGGCGACGAUCCCUAGCUGGUCUGAGAGGAUGACCAGCCACACUGGAACUGAGACACGGUCCAGACUCCUACGGGAGGCAGCAGUGGGGAAUAUUGCACAAUGGGCGCAAGCCUGAUGCAGCCAUGCCGCGUGUAUGAAGAAGGCCUUCGGGUUGUAAAGUACUUUCAGCGGGGAGGAAGGGAGUAAAGUUAAUACCUUUGCUCAUUGACGUUACCCGAAGAAGAAGCACCGGCUAACUCCGUG
rnacentral:rRNA from 1 species